CGGCGGACGGGUGAGUAACGCGUGGGUAACCUGCCCUGUACAGGGGGACAACAGUUAGAAAUGACUGCUAAUACCGCACAAGCGCACAGGACCGCAUGGUCCGGUGUGAAAAACUCCGGUGGUACAGGAUGGACCCGCGUCUGAUUAGGUAGUUGGCGGGGUAACGGCCCACCAAGCCGACGAUCAGUAGCCGACCUGAGAGGGUGACCGGCCACAUUGGGACUGAGACACGGCCCAAACUCCUACGGAAGGCAGCAG
rnacentral:rRNA from 1 species